GAGUUUGAUCCUGGCUCAGGAUGAACGCUGGCGGCGUGCUUAACACAUGCAAGUCGAACGGACUCAUAUUGAAACCUAGUGAUUUAUGAGUUAGUGGCGGACGGGUGAGUAACGCGUGGAUAACCUGCCGUAUACCGGGGGAUAACACUUAGAAAUAGGUGCUAAUACCGCAUAAGCGCACGGCUCCGCAUGGGGCAGUGUGAAAAACUCCGGUGGUAUGGGAUGGAUCCGCGUCUGAUUAGCUGGUUGGUGAGGUAACGGCCCACCGAGGCGACGAUCAGUAGCCGACCUGAGAGGGUGGCCGGCCACAUUGGGACUGAGACACGGCCCAAACUCCUACGGGAGGCAGCAGUGGGGAAUAUUGCACAAUGGGGGAAACCCUGAUGCAGCGACGCCGCGUGAGUGAAGAAGUAUUUCGGUAUGUAAAGCUCUAUCGGCAGGGAAGAAAAAAAUGACAGUACCUGACUAAGAAGCCCCGGCUAACUACGUGCCAGCAGCCGCGGUAAUACGUAGGGGGCAAGCGUUAUCCGGAUUUACUGGGUGUAAAGGGAGCGUAGGCGGCCACGCAAGUCAGAAGUGAAAACCCGGGGCUCAACCCUGGGAGUGCUUUUGAAACUGUGCGGCUAGAGUGUCGGAGGGGUAAGUGGAAUUCCUAGUGUAGCGGUGAAAUGCGUAGAUAUUAGG
rnacentral:rRNA from 1 species